CUGCGAUAAUCCAGCAUGCCCGACUUGACUGGGACCCACCACCCUUGCCACCAAGCCGUUUACUUGUUGCUAAUAGAGUAUCCACCUCACAAUUGAACACUUUAGGAACAAAGACUCUGACAAACGUUCUCUUUCGUUGUUUUUCUGGUAAAGUCUAAGUUUUUUAUGCAGCUUUACGGCAGCAGCUGCAUACCGCGCCAGUAGAUAUGCAAUCAUUCAAAAGAAUGGCAUCUUGUAUUUUGAAACCUUUUGCGACUUCAACAUCAAGUAUCAAUCCCAGUCCGACCUUUUUGGCUUGUCGCGAGUCAAAAUCCAAGUGUUACAAUAACUUCUUAGAUGAAAUACUUUCAACUGCAGGAGUUGAAACAGGUAUGGGAAUGUCGCUCAAAACAGGCAACCUGCCAGGAUUCCCGUCCAUAUUCGAUAGGUCAUUUCUUGACUCGUUGGCAUUUUCCUGCGGUCUUACACCAUAAAAACCCUUUCUUUUUCUUUUUUAACAGAUCUCUUUCUUUUAUCAUUCCUUGCCAUAUUUAUGUAAAAAACCACUUAAAAACGCUUUGUAAAUCGCUCGAUUGAAACAGAUUUUAAUUAUAAACAGUAUCGCUUUGAAGACAACUUCGGUAGCAUAUCGUGAACAAACGGCAAGAUUCGUAGUUUUAACCUGCGAUCAGGCCUCGUUUUUGUUGCAGGCAAAAAAGAGGGGAGUUCUGCUGUCCAUCAAAGGGUUGCAGGGGAAAAUCGUA